UAUGUGAUCGUCUCUCGCAUAUCAAUAAGCGGAGGAAAAGAAACUAACAAGGAUUCCCCUAGUAACGGCGAGUGAAGCGGGAAGAGCUCAAAUUUGAAAUCUUAAAGGGUUUCCCUUUACGAAUUGUAGUUUAAAGAAGUGUUUUCUGUUGAGGUUUUGGUAAAAGUUCUUUGGAAUAGGACAUCAUAGAGGGUGAGAAUCCCGUAUUUGACCUUUACUUUCAACUUUGUGAUACACUUUCAAAGAGUCGGAUUGUUUGGGAAUGCAGUCCAAAAUGGGUGGUAAAUUUCAUCUAAAGCUAAAUAUUGGCGAGAGACCGAUAGCGAACAAGUACCGUGAGGGAAAGAUGAAAAGAACUUUGAAAAGAGAGUUAAACAGUACGUGAAAUUGUCAAAAGGGAAGCGUUUGACACCAGUGUUGUUUUUCUGAAAAUCAAUUAAAGAACUGUUUAUGCUAAGCUGUUUAGACUUUAUCAGCUAACUGUUUAGUUUUGAGCUUUUCUUUAAUGCACUUUUCAGUUAACAAGUCAACAUCAAUUUCUUUUGCUGUAAAAAAGCUUGAGGAAGGUGGCUUGAUGAUUCGUCUUAAGUGUUUCAUAGCCUCUUGCCUAUGCAGUCGGAGAGAUUGAGGUCUGCAGCGUAGAUCCUUCGGGGCUAAAUGCAUUUGUGCUAAGUUAUAGCAUUUAUAGGACAACUUGUUGACUAUGAUUUGUCUUGUAGCUUACUCGCUUAUGUUAUUUUACCUACGCUUAGGAUGUUGAUAUGCAUGACUGAUAU
rnacentral:rRNA from 1 species